CAGGACGAACGCUGGCGGCGUGCCUAAUACAUGCAAGUCGAACGGUCUUUCUAUGGAAGCUUGCUCCACUGAGAAGAUAGUGGCGAACGGGUGAGUAACACGUGGGUAACCUGCCCAUAAGAGGGGGAUAACAUCCGGAAACGGGUGCUAAUACCGCAUAGUUUUCUUGAUCGCAUGAUCGGGAAAGGAAAGACGGCCUUUGUGCUGUCGCUUAUGGAUGGACCCGCGGCGUAUUAGUUAGUUGGUGAGGUAACGGCUCACCAAGACGAUGAUACGUAGCCGACCUGAGAGGGUGAUCGGCCACAUUGGGACUGAGACACGGCCCAAACUCCUACGGGAGGCAGCAGUAGGGAAUCUUCCGCAAUGGACGAAAGUCUGACGGAGCAACGCCGCGUGAGUGAAGAAAGGUUUUCGGAUCGUAAAACUCUGUUGUCAGAGAAGAACAAGUUGGAGAGUAACUGCUCCAGCCUUGACGGUAUCUGACCAGAAAGCCACGGCUAACUACGUGCCAGCCGCCGC
rnacentral:rRNA from 1 species